rnacentral:rRNA from 1 species
GGAGCCAACCUUGAAAUACCAGCCUGACAUGUUUGAGGUUCUAACUUGGUCCCCUUAUCGGGGAUGAGGACACUGUGUGGUGGGUAGUUUGACUGGGGCGGUCGCCUCCCAAACGGUAACGGAGGCGUACAAAGGUUUCCUCUGAACGGGUAGAAAUCGUAUCUAGAGUGUAAAGGCAUAAGGAAGCUUGACUGUGAGACCUACAAGUCGAACAGGGACGAAAGUCGGUCUUAGUGAUCUGACGGUUCCGAGUGGAAGGGCCGUCACUCAACGGAUAAAAGUUACUCUAGGGAUAACAGGCUGAUCUCCCCCAAGAGUUCACAUCGACGGGGAGGUUUGGCACCUCGAUGUCGGCUCAUCACAUCCUGGGGCUGAAGCCGGUCCCAAGGGUAUGGCUGUUCGCCAUUUAAAGUGGUACGCGAGCUGGGUUUAGAACGUCGUGAGACAGUUCGGUCCCUAUCUGCCGUGGACGUUGGAGAUUUGAGGAAAGCUGCUCCUAGUACGAGAGGACCGGAGUGGACGAACCUCUGGUGUUCGGGUUGUGACGCCAGUCGCAUUGCCCGGUAGCUAUGUUCGGACAGGAUAACCGCUGAAAGCAUCUAAGCGGGAAGCCCCUUCCAAGAUGAGAUCUCCCUGGACCCUCGAGGUCCCUGAAGAGCCGUUCAAGACCAGGACGUUGAUAGGUCGGGUGUGUAAGCGCUGCGAGGCGUUGAGCUAACCGAUACUAAUUGCUCGUGCGGCUUGAC